AUUGAACGCUGGCGGCAGGCCUAACACAUGCAAGUCGAGCGAGCGGUGGACGGGUGAGUAAUGUAUGGGGACUGUCCGACAGAGGGGGAUAACUACUGGAAACGGUGGCUAAUACCGCAUACUCUCGGAUAACCCAUAGGGGUUUCUAUAGUAGGUAAGGUAAUGCCUGUCCUAGGCGACGAUCCCUCGCUGGUCUGAGAGGAUGAGCAGCCACACUGUAACUGAGACACGGCCCAGAAUCCUACGGAGGCAUGAGUGGGGAAUAUUGGACAAUGGGCUCAAGCCUGAUGCAGCCAUGCCGCGGGUAUGAAGAAGGCCCUAGGGUUGAAAAGUACUUUCAGGCGGGAGGCGUUACCUACAGAAGAAGCACCGGCUAACUCCGUUCCAGCAGCCGCGGUAAUUC
rnacentral:rRNA from 1 species